rnacentral:lncRNA from 1 species
GUUAGGCCUCAGUAUUUCCUAGCCAAGGAGCAAGCUUCCAGGAAAUGAGCGAGUGAGCCUCCAAUUGUAUAUGUAGACGUAAAAACAGCAUGCAUGCCCCUCCACCACCAAGCCUUUUUCAUUUCCAAGCUUUUCUCUAAUCACCAGGAUCCAAACACCUCCAGCCCAGCUCCCAUCCCCGCCCUCCUCCUCAGCCUUGGGCCCACCCACCUCUGUCUUCACAAAAGGUGCCCCGCUGGCCGGCACCACAGAAAACAUCCAAGCCCAAGGUACUCAUGGUUUGUGUGUAAAGGGUUUUUAUUGGAGAGCCUGUGGCGCUGAAGUGCCACCAAGGAUUUGGAAGGUCACUUUCAGCAGCCGCCAUUUCUGCCAGGACCAGUGGCAAGCACCUGGCAGAUGGAGCCCGGGUGUUUCUGCGUAAGGCAGAGGAAUCCAGCUUUUCCAUGAGAUUCAGCUGCAGUUGUCGAAAACCCUGUGUGAGCCAGCAGUUCCAGUUCAAAGGUUGAGGGGGCGAACAGCUGCGAGGUGGCCAGGCUCCCGUGAGUCACCACUCAGGCCUGAGUACACCGUGGAGAGGAGAGAUAAAGCAGCCACGGCUGUUCUGUUGCCAGUCCCACCCCUCUGGCAAACAGAUGGGGGAAAACAGAGAAGGAAAGUCAACAAAGAAGGUGAAAUGCAGGGAGCAGAGACUACACGCAGGCCCCCCGUGGCUGGCAAUACCAUGCGUGCUGGGCCGGCUGCGCCACCCUCACCCAGGGCUUCCCACGGGCUCUGCUCUUUCCUGCAGAGGCGAAACUGCCUUCCUGGCAGGCGGAGGCUGCCGAGCUCCCAUGCCCCUUCCCACAUAUCCCAACUCUUCUCAGAAAACUGAAGAACCGAAGAUGGAGCCAAUCACCUCUAGCCUGGGAACACCGCUAGUCAGGAGGCCUCAAUCAACCUGAGAAGUCAGCCCAAGGCCCUGUCUCCAGAAGCCAGCAGCAGAUCCCUGGGUCAUGUCACAGGCAAGUCCUCACUUCACCAGCUCAGAGGUGAGCCACUCUCACCUGAACCUCUGCCUUCCGGCAGGGACCUCCUGGGUCCUGUGGGGUCUCCUGGGUCCAGGAAGAAAGAAAAGGAGCCACAGACGUGUCCAGGUCUGGAAGGGGCUGACCAGCUCUAAGCACAUCCACCUUGAACUCUGACACAGGUAACGCCAAAAUGAGGCCAGGACCUGACCAAGCCAAAAAAGCAGCAAAGGAUCAGAUGGGGUCCAAUGUGUAGAUCCAGUAGAGAAGAAUGUCGGAAAUUCUAAAUACACAGUUGGACAUCCUUCAGGCUUGUUUUAGAUUCUUGAUCCUCCUGAUCUCUUUUACUAUUGUCAACAAUUGUCUUAAAAAAACUUCUUUAAAAUCAACAUGUUUCUACCCUUUGCUCCUUAGCAAGGCACAAAGCCUCUUACAUGGGGAGUAGAAGUAGGGGGCACUUUAAAGGGAUGCCCAAAGGGUGGCAGAAGCAACUCCAUUGUGGUGACGUGGAAACGAGCUUGCCAGUGACAGUCUGAGCAGAUGCCUGACACGCACGAUGGAGCUGGGGUUUUAUACAUAACGUUCGUUUUGGUUUCAACACCUCCGACGCAAGAGGGCUUCCAGGUCCAGUCCUUCACACCCCAGGUUGCAGCUGACCAACUUUCCACAGGAUGCCACCAGGCUGGGAAACAGGUUUUACCUAAAAGAAAGGGAAGGACAAGAGUAAGCCCCUUCUGGCAGAGCCUCGCACCCAUUCUGACCCCUCCUGAACAUCUCUAUCCCUCACCCUCUCAGCCAGUGAAAAGGCCACAGUCCCCAGCCACAGGACCUUUGAGCGUGCUGUCUGGAAGGCGCAAUCCACUCUUCCAGCAAACCCCCUCCCUCCCCACAGUUCCCAACUAAGGAUCCCUCCCCCAGCUCCCCACACAGACUCCCUAGAACACAACCUCUUUCUCCUUAUAUCCCUCUCCUUGCCAGCACUUCCAGGGUGUUUACACUAGGGGUUGGAAAACUUCUUCUGUGACAGUCCAGAGAGGAAAUAUUGUAAACUCUGCAGAUCCCACAAUCACGGUGAUAACUCCUCAACCCUGCUGUUGGGGUGGAACAGCAGCCACAGCAAGAAAUGCUUGGCCAUGGCUGUGUUCCAGUACAAUGUUAUUUAUAGACACUGAAAUUUGAAUUGCAUGUUACUUUCUCAUGUCAUAAAAUAGUAUUCUUCCUUUGGUUCUUUUUCAACCAUUAAAAUGUGAAAAUCAUUCUUGGCUCCUGAGCUGUACAAAAACAGACAGUGGGCUGGAUUUGGCCCAUGGGCCAUAGUUUGCUGACUCCUGGUUUAUGUAUCUGAGUAGUGUUGGUCUCUUGCUUAGACUGGGAGCUUGAGACAAAAGCCACAUCUAAGCUUCCUUACCUUUAA